rnacentral:lncRNA from 1 species
ACUCGAUUCUGGGACGUGCAGAUACCGGUACCCACCGGCGAGCGCAGGAACGAGUGGGCACUCCCACCCCCGGGAGCUGGCUCCGUUCCCGCAGGAGGUUGGUCACGCCCCCUGACUCCUGGUCGCUGCGACAGCCAAGGGCGAGGCCGCAGCAGGCGGGCUGCAGGCGGCGGAAGCUCGUCCGCGCUCCUCCCCCGGUGGGGCGCUCUCCGCUCGCCUCGCGCGGCCCCGACCCCAAGACCCAGGCCCCGGAAGGCGAGCGUUCACUUACCUGCUCCCCUCUCUCGCUCUCCGCUGCCGCCGCUGCGCCGCUCACCCACGCUGCCCGGUGAGCCACCCCCAGCACACAGACCCCUACGCGUACACCCGAGGCACGGCCCCAGGCCCUUGAGGGGAGACCGCGGCCCAGCCACACAGGUUGGGGUAGCCCACGCACCACCCGGCUUCGAACACCUCUGCCCCCGGAAGUUGAUUUCCGCCAAGGCCCGCCCAACACAGCGCCCGUCACUCAACGUAAACACGCGCGUCACGUGGCCCCAGGCCGAGGCCCGGGUCGGGGCCCCAUGUUCAGAGCCCUGCCACCCCAGCUUGAGCGUGGUCUUUGGAGCGUUGCCCUGUGAAAAGGGGUGACUUUGCCAUGCUCCUUCCCAGUCUACCUCCUGUUAGUUACAGUUUCUCAUUCCUCUUGAGUAGCAGGCCCUGUUUCUCCACCUAAUCCCUGCAAGUAAACCGUCCCCCAAAUCAAAAUGAGUUCCAUCUGGAACUUUGUAGGAUUGGUCCUAAGAAGAUCCCGCCGAAUCUCUUCACCACUUCCUAGCAGAGCACAGUAAAACCGGGGACUAAGCAAAGUGGCUGACAUGUAGUAAGUGCUCAAGAAAUGGAUGUUGACUAGAUGCUACCUCUCAUCUUUGCCUGUCUGAACUCUCAAGCACCGGAUGCAAGUAGACUGAGAGCCUCCGCCAACCAGUAAGAUGACUUUGGUCAAAGAAUUCUGCUCUAGAGUUACUUUUGUUCUUGUCUUCAACUCCAGAUCACAGCAAUUCAUACGUGCCAUCUCUGUUGCAGAGUUUUCUUGCAAAGCCUUUCUUAAAAGCUUUCUGUCAAAUAGCUUGUCCUGAAGCAAUAGGAAAAGAAUAGCGUAAUUCACAGAUUAUUUAUUUGAAAGGAAGGAAUGAUUAUAUAGAUGUCUUUGUCCAUUUCAGACUGUCAAUAGCGAUGAGAGAAACAGUCAACUAGCAGUCCACUCGUGAAUGUUUCUUCUGUUUUUGCCAUGGAAGGAUUUUGAAGAACAUUCAUUCAACAAAUUUUUAUUGAUUGUAUACCACAUACCUAGUCCUGGGCCAAGUUUUGACAAUUCAAGAGUGAGCAAGGUAACACUCAAGAUAUUUGUCUUCAAGAAGCUUACAGUCUAGUGAGAAAGAAAGACACUAACCUGGGGACUUUGAGCAUAAAUCUCUGGAAUAUUCACAUUCCUUGUAUAACAAGUAUUCUUUCAUCCUUGGACACUGGGUUUCUCAUCUGUUGAACAAAAUUGGCUUAAACCUGUAAUCUCUGUUCUGUACUGGAAGUGGAAAAUAUUAGCAAGGCAUCCUGACAAGUCUGCCAUAAGUGCUGGCCUAAGUAGUUAAUGAGCAGUUUCAGUAUUGAGCAAGUCACCUUGACUACAUUCUUUUUCCAGCCCACCCCCUUCUUUAUGCAUACAAAAAACAUUUCUAUUGUAAGAAAUGUAAUGCUUUCUUACACAUAUUUUUUUAUCUGUCUACUAGACUACCAAGUCAAGGACCACUUCUCACUUGUAUAUCCAGCAAUCUACUCACUUCUCAUUUGUCUUUGUGUAUCCAGCAGUCUAGCAAAGUGUCUAGUAGUUAGAAAAAAGGUAUUCAUAAAUAUUUCUUAAACUUAGUAAGGUUACCUUUAUAUUAUUUUGUCUCUCAUAUCUCUUUCUGCUGGAAACCAGAUUAGUUUCUGGGAGUUCCUUCCCAUUGAUGUACUUACAUGUUCACUCUGUCCCGAUAUUCAAUACUAAACUGUAUUCCAUACUAAACAGAUUUAUAAUAAGUAACUAAUAUUUAUUAUUAAUAUUUGCUAUGUGCCUGGCAUUAGAUUAAAUAUUUUAAAUCCCAUAUAUAACUUACCACAAUAAUUUUACAAAGUAGGUAUAUUAAUAUAUUUACACUUUAGAUGAGGUUACAGAUUUAGGAAGUGUAAAUUGACCAAGUGGAUUUAAAGCCAGAUCUGCCCAACAGAAGGGCUUGUUUAUUCACUAUAGCACAUCACUUUGCUUUUUAUAUCACUUAUUUAUCAGUGAAUUCAAAUCCUACCAACUCCAUGAAAUCUUUCUUCCUUCCCCACAGUAAUCUUUUUCUUUAUAAACAAUUCAGUGAUUUUAGUAUAUUCACAGAGUUAUGCAUGCUUUACCACAUUCGAUUUUAGAGUAUUUUCACAGCCCCAAAAAGAAACCCCAUACCCUUUGGCCCCAACUUCUCCCUCCUCUCCCCAGCCCUAGGCAACCAGUAAUCCACUUUCCGUCUGUAUGCAUUUGUCUAUCUUGAACAUUUCAUAUAAAUGGAAUCAUGCAAUGUGUGGUCUUUUGUGACUGGCUUCUUUCACUUAACAUGUUUUCAAAGUCCCUUCAUCGGUUGGGUUGUUUCAGCUUUUUGAAUAUUAUGAAUAAUGCUCCUGUUGACAUUCAUGUACAAGUUUUCGUGUCAACAUAUGUUCUCAUUUCUCUUGGAUAUAUACCUAAGAGUGGAAUUGCGGGGUCAUAUGGUAACUCUAUGUUUAACCCCUUGUGGAACUACCACACUGUUUUCCAAAGUGGCUGUACCAUUUUACUUUCUCACCAGCAAUGUAUGAGGGCUCUAAUUUCUCUAUUGUGCCUUUUCUUGUCUCUCUAGAACAUGUGCCUCUCUUACUUUUCAGAAUACUUUUUCCAUGAGCCAUCUUCAAUUAUUAUUCUUUGUUGUACAUGUAUCUGCAAGCCCAUUUUCCUAAUAGUUUGUGACCUUCUGAGAUGAAAAACAUGGUGCCUGCCCUUAAGAGAAUCACAUCUAGAAAAAUAUACAAUCAAAUCAGAUAUUACAGUGAUAAUAAACACUGAAAUAAAGGUUAUUGCUAAAAGGUGGAGAAAGAACACCUCACUCAGCCUAGGUUAAACAGGAAGUACUUCUCAUAGAAUGUAUCAAAGCUCAGGAUUAGUCCUGAAGAAUCUAUUGGAAUUGACCAAGCUAAGGAAAGACAUGAGUAUGCUCCAGAAAAAGGAACAUAUACCUUUGUAUAUAUUUCCUUGUCUAUGAACUGUGGAGGUAAGUAUAUUUUGCAGGUAAGCAUACCAUAGAAGCAAACAUUGUGGUAUGCAGGUAUGCAGCAGGAGAAAUGGGAAAUGUAGAUGUAAGAUGAUGAAGAGUUUUGUAAACUGUGUUAAGGAGUUUGAACUGUAUCCUGAAGGUAAUGGGAAAUUGCUGAAUUAGUUAAGCAAGGUUGGAGAAGAAUUACUUCAGCAGCAGUAUAGAGGAAGGAUUAUUGGGUAGGAGAGACGGGGCCAAGACUAGAAAAACAAACAAACCAGAUAGAAGACAUAAAAUAACUAAAAUGAGGAAUUAAUGACUGCCUGAGCCGAGAUGGUACCCAUGAAAUUGGCAGAAAGGAUUUUAAAGGCACAUGGCCAACAAAAAAGGAGGAAAGAAGCCAGUCACGGUGGCUUAUACGUGUAACCCCAGCAAUGUGGGAGGCUGAGGUAGGAGGAUCACUGGAGCCUGGGAGGUGGAGGCUGCAGUGAGCUGUGAUUGUGCCACUGCAUUCCAGCUGGAUGACAGAGCAAGACCCUUUCAAAAAAAAAAAAAAAAGGAGGAGUAAGAAGAAGAAGAAAGAAUUGAAGAUAUAUUCCAGGUUUCUGGCUGUAGUCAUCAAGAGGAAGAUUGGGCACUUGGUGAUAAGAAUAAUGAAACACUACAAUGAUGGUAUCUUAGUUUGUUCAGGCUGCUAUAGAAAAAUACUGGGUAGCUUAUGAAUGCAAAUUUAUUUCUCACAGGUCUGGAGUCUAAGAAGUUCAAGAUUAAGACACCAGCAGAUUGGAUGUCUAGUGGGGCCCUGCUUUCUGGGUCAUAGAUUGUGCCUUCUAGCUGUGUCCUCAUGUGGUGGAAGAGACAGGGCGGCUCUCUGGAGCCUCUUUUAUAAGGGCAGUAAUCCUAGUCAUGAGGCUUGUGUCCUCAUGAUUUAAUCACCUCCCAAAGGCCCCACCUCCUAACGCUAUCUCAUUGGUGAUUAAGUUUAACAUAUGAAUUGUGGGGGGACAAAAACAUUCAGACCACAGCAGAUAGGUUGCAGGAAUUUAAACUGCCAUUGAAGUUUAUGUGCUGUUGCAGUCACCCACAGAAAUGAGAUGAACCCUCACCCAAACUUUGGCUCCUAUUUCAAGACUUAGCAUACCACAUAUGCACCAACAGGGUAUAAAAAGGUUUAUUACUCACAUAAUGAGCCUUUCUAGGAAGAGUACAGCAGACCUCCUAAGCAGGUUUUAAAAUGACUUGAGAGAGUAGGAGAAAAAGCUAUUGGGAUUUUUUUCAUGGCUAGGACAUGGCGCUUGGGUGAAAAAGCCCACACAGGGCAGGGACUGUAUGGCUCAAAUUUUCCACCAGCACCAAAAUAGGAAAUACCUAUUUUGCACCAUAUUUGGAUCUAGGCAAGCUUUCUCAUCAAGUUGCCUAGAUUCAGAUAUCAUACAAAAGGGAACAGGUGAGGAGCCGGACUUAAAACUUGUUAAGAAUCAAACAUAAAAAAUUAUGUCAGACACAAUUACAUAUUCUUAGAUCUAGUUUAACUGCAACUAACAAUAUAGUUGUUACAUAUAUAUAUGCUUUGAAAGUGAUUAUCAUGGACACUGUAGUUGCAAUCCCAACAUUUAUUCCACUCUUCCCACAUUGUGCAUAGUACACCUAAGAAAUUGAGGUGAAAUUAACCUCACCUUUAUCUCCAAAGUUAGUCCAGUUAAGAUAACCCAAUCCCAACCUACGUUGUUCCCCUGGCCACAAGAUGUUGUUCAGGGUUGAGCAAAUUGGCACCAAUUACAGGACUUUAGCCCCAAAAUUGUGGGCUGUGGCUCCUUUCUCUCCCUUGAUAAAUGAGAAAGCAUGUGGUUCUUGUUACUGAGGGCAGUCAUCUUGUAACCAAGAAAAUAAAAAAGCUGGAACCCUGAUCAAAUAAGCAAAGAUUUAUAACUUUGUAUAUAAGAAGAAGGACAUAAACAGUAAACUGUGAAGGUUUUAAAUAAACACUUUUCUGCCUCCUUCCUUUUAAUCUACUGGUUUCUUCUGUUAUGGCAGCUUUUAGGUCAAAUUAAUACAGAGCUUGAUUUUUCUACUUACCCUCACUGGUACUGAAUAUUAGUUAAGUCAGUUUAAAUUUGUUAUUAUUAUACUUCACCUUAAAAGACUUUAGUGUAUAUAAUUUGAUAUAAAUGUACAUGUGUGUUUCCAGAUUUACCCUACCCUCUAAUGAUUGUCAGUUGCCAUCAUAUAGAAUUUAUACUCCAGG